rnacentral:lncRNA from 1 species
AUGGUUUGUAACCAAGCGGGUAGAUACACUGAGGGUUUUCACAAAGAUAAAUGGACUCCUGAAAAUUGAUGCGGUAAGUCCGUAAAACUUGAACCUGGCCCUUCUCUUUGCAGACUGGACAAUAGUCAGGUGAAGUUUUUUCCACGGGAGCAUGGCUCGACCGCCUCCAGCGGCGCUGCCGCCCAAGCGCGACGCGCGCCGCUUCCGGCCGCCAUGCCGCUCCCGGCAGCCAACGGGCGGGCGAGGGCUGCGCGGCCGCGGCGGGGCGAGCGGCGGAGGUAUUCUCUCCUCCCCCCUUUCCUUCUUCCCCUUCCUCCCCGCUCGCGGUGGGCGGGGCCGGCAGGGAGGGUGCUGCCGCCUCACGGCGCUUCGGGGAGCGCUGCCUGGAAGGGCGCCCGGGGCGGCGGUAGCGGUGUGCGGGGGCAGUGCUCGGCUGUGCCGCGGUUGGCGCGUUUGCUCCUACUGCGGUAUUUUAGGCCGUGCUUACAGCGGCACUCUUCUCUUGGGUAGCGCAGAGCUGUUGUCGGGGUGGCCUUCUUGGGCGAGAGGCGGCGGGCCGUGCCGGGAGGGCGCGGCGGUGCCUCGUAGUGCCUCCCCGCACCUCACCUGGGGCUGCGUUCUCAACCAGCAGCUGCCGCUGUGCUCUGUGCACGCAACGAUCUGUUAACGCCGUGGCCGCCUGUCCUCGCAGGGCGCUGCCGUCAGGGGCGCGGGGGGCUCUCGGCCUGCCUGUGCUGUCCCCUUCUGUGCUCAGCACAGCGAGCAGUUUUUUAGCUGGCUUUCGUUGUACCCGAGGUUUCUGCUUGCCCAGGGUGACUGGGAUCUGCUGUUCUGUUUUCAGCUUCCACCACACAUAAGCUCUUGUUUCAUGUAUAUGCUCCCCGACGUCGUCUGGUAAAAGCUCUUGGCUUGUUUGUGUGUGCUUCAGGAGGAUUAAGGUGACUUUUUUCCCACCUGUUAGUCUGGACUGACUUUGAAAAAGCUCCGGUGUGGAUUCUGGUUCUCUGAGCCAUCGGAACUCAUGGCUCGAUGCUGCUGAGGCUUUAAAGCCAGCCGAUGCAUCCCUCUUCCUGGGGGCUGUUGUAGUUUGUGCUUGGUGGUUGUGCUGUUGUUGUGGUUGUUCAUUUGGUUUUGUUCCCCUGGUGAAUUGAAUUUUGGAUAAAUUAACUUCUAUCUCAGGUAUUUAAUACGUGCUGUGAAGUGCCACAGAGUCACUUCCCCGUGUUCAUUUCUGUUCCUCCCAGACAUCCAAGUCAAAUCAAGGCAAGCAUGGGCCGAGGAAAGCAUCCAGAGCUGAGUUUCUGUGUAUAACGAGGGGAUUUCCCGUGUGUGUGUGGGGAAGAGUUUAUGUGUUGGCAGGGGAAAGAAGUGGAGGUUUUCAGUUCACAGUGCAGUAGAACUUUGUUCAGCCUGAACAAAGCGGUGCUGAAGUAAUAGUUGCUGUGUGAUGCAAACUCCAGAGCCACCAGGAAUCGGUUUGGACGUUCCAGAUGUGGACUGGUAAUGACUGGGAUCUAGUUGGACUUGCUGUUUAUUCAAAUAUUGUUUCCAUGUUGUGUCAGUCUGUCUAAAUUUGGUUUAGUUUUAAUUAACUAACAAUGUACAGUGAGCAUGUGGCUUAUUUCUGGGUUUAUUCAUUUCCAUCGUCACCUUCUUAAACUGGCUCCAGUUAACGUGGGAAGACUAGAAAUUUCAGAUACAGUUUGGAGUGCUGUUUAAGGUCUGAUAGGCAUUGUGAUUUCAAAAGAAUGAAUGGAAUAAUUAUCUGGAAAUUAACUCUGAACUUUGGAGGAAUCAUAUUCUGGGUGUAUGGAUAGCAGAUUGUACUCGAGCUGAGAACAUGUGCCGUUCAUGUGUGUCUUCUAGAAAUGUUUUCACAUGCAAGUUACGUACCUAUUGGCUGCAUGCUUCUGACCAGAUUGUCACUGCAAGGCUGAUGGCUCCUGACAAAAUGGAUGCGGAGUGGGAGACACCAACUGGAAACUUCUGCUUGACAGGUUUUGUUUUUCAGGGCUUGUUUGUGCUGCUCUCUUCUUCUACCAGAACCAUGCAACAUUAAAAUUUAAACACGAGAUGCCUUUUUGAGAAUGUAAGAAUGAUACAGUAAUUUACUAUAUGUAUACCUCUUUCUUCCCUUGAAUACAUGAUUGAUUGAAUACGUGAUUAAUAUUGUUAUAUACAUACAGUACGAGUUUACAGUCCUGCCGAUUGCAAUUUUGAGAGUGAAUUUUGAGUUGUUGUGUAUAAAAAGUCAAGAUUACUGUGGUUGUAAACCUUCUUGCAUUUCAUGGCUAACUUCAAGUCCACAAGCUAGAUUCUUGCAUUGCUGCUAGCAUUAUUGAUGUUGUUAUGUACAUGCGGCAUGCAUUGGCUGUGGCAUUCUGGUAUUGUAACUGGAGAAAGGGAGAUCUUUGUUAUGAAGUCAGUAGCCAAAACACAAAGCUGGGCUCAUCUGGUCACCUGCUGACCUGUUUAAAUCCUUUUCUCUGCAGUGGAAACCUCUUGUAAGUUAUUCUUAGGACUUUUUUUUUUUUUCCCUUGACCUUUUGAAAAUAAAUUCUAUAUAGUUUCCCUACUACAGUGUGUAACCUUGACAAAGAAGAGAAAUCUAUUUGCUGCGCAGAGUUAAAGGUGUUUUUUUUUUUUAUUAAUUUUUCCCCAUCUCAGCUCUUACUUUGUCAUCCUUAACAGGAGCAUCUUUACACUGUAGCGGAGAGAGAAACCAUCUUAAAGUGAACACCUUAAGCACAUUUUCUUAGCUUUCAUUGUGCUCUUUGAGUUACUUUAUCUCCUUGUCCUGUGGCUUGUAGGUUUCAGACUCUAACAUGAUACGGAGCAAUAAUCAAAACUUAGUAGCUUUGGGACUUUCAGAACUGGAUUACUUUCAGGAGUAUAUCCCUGAUGCAAUGUAGCUUUGACAUUGUGAAACGAGUGGUGUUUUCCAGUCAUGAUCGCUGUCCAUAGGAUGCUACCCCUACAGUUCGGUUAUGUGCUUGCAUCAUAGACGCAUAGAAUCACCAAGGUUGGAAAAGACCUGCAAGAUCAUCCAGUCCAACCAUCCACCUGCCACAAAUAGUUCUCACUAAACUAUGUCCAUGAAUACAACGUCUAAAUGUUCCUUGAACACCUCCAACAUCGGUGACUCCACCACCUCUCUGGGCAGCCCAUUCCAGUGCCUGACCACCCUUUCAGAGAAGCAGUAUUUCCUAACGUCCAGCGUGAACCUUUCCUGGUGUAGUUUGAAGCCAUUCCCUCUAGUCCUAUCACUAGUCACACGAGAAAAGAGGCUGACCCCCAGCUCACUACAGCCUCCCUUCAGGUAGUUAUAGAGAGCAAUAAGGUCUCCCCGAGCCUCCUCCAGACUGAGCAAUCCCAGCUCCUUCAGCUGCUCCUCAUAAGGCCUGUGCUCCAGACCCCUCACCAGCUUUGUUGCCCUCCUCUGGACACACUCCAGGGCCUCGAUGUCUUUCUUGCAGCAAGGGGCCCAAAACUGAGCACAGUGCACAGUGGGGUUGUAUUGCUACUCGUAGUGCAAGUCAGCAUUAUGUAGAACAAAUAUUUUAAUGCCGGUGUAAGGAAUUGACUUGGACCCAAUAUGAGGCAGUAAAACAACAGUCCAAACAAAGUUGGGUUUUGGUAAGAUCUUGAUUAACUUGUUUAUAAUAGUGAGGACUUCAAAAAUGGUGUCAAGUUCAGGGUUGUAUUGGUUAAAUGAUGUUCAAAAUAAUAAUAAAAAAAAAGUUUAGACAAGCAAAGUGUUCUGAAAUAAAUUGAAAAAAACAUAGGUAAUAUUUCACAGAAUCAUAGAAUGGUCUAGGUUGAAAAGGACCACAAUGCUCAUGUAGUUUCAACCCCCCUGCUAUGUGCAGGGUCGCCAACCACCAGACCAGGCUGCCCAGAGCCACAUCCAGCCUGGCCUUGGAUGCCUCCAGGAAUUUUAUUUAUUUAUUUCAUAACCAAAUAAGACGUGUUGGCUUUUAGUCUCAAACUGUUGGUUUUUUUUUUGUUUUGUUUUUAACAGAUGUUUCUCCUAAAAGCAGGUUUUAUUUGGGUCUCUCUUAUCCCUGAAUUCAGGUUUUGUACUGGUUUUCUGUUCUUCUGCACAAAAGUCUGCGAUUUCUAAGGUGUAAUUUCUUUUCUCUUAGCUGUGAUUGUAUGUUUAAAUGAUUGACUUGUGACAGAAUUCCAAGACACUGUAUCAGGAAGGUGAUUCAUGAGGUUUGAAAGCAGUGCUUCUCAGCAAUAGCGUCUGAAGGCAGUGUUUUACUGAAGGCAAACAGGGAUGAUGCUGGUUUCUAUUGCUUCUCUUUUCUCUGUGUUGGUGAAAGGGAAAUCAACUCCAAACCACACCUGUGCUAGCACACAGGGUUGGAUGUAACAUACCACUCUUUUAAAAAGUACCCAUUCUUUCAUUCUGUUUUCAAAGUUACUUUGGGAGUUACUCUGGGAGUCUCCUGUUUUGAUUUCUUGAAAAUAUGCAAUAGUCAAAUGUAUUGAGAAGUCAAGCCCUUGUGGCUCUUGGGAAGAGUAUCUUGCCAGCUGAACUUGGUUCAAAUGGUAGCAGUACAAUGGAUGUUUCUUGUCCAUUCGAGACUUUUCCCAGCAGUACUUUUAGACACUUAUGCUAAAAUUUAGGUCGAUUUUGGCAACCAUUAUCUUGUGGUCUUCUUAUUUAAACUUGAGUAUUUUUUUUUUGCCGUCUACAAGUCAUUUAAAAAAGCAUCCUGUGUAAAGAUGCUGUCGUGUUACAGCUACUGACAUUAUGCAUGAGCAGAGGAUCAGCUUUCCAGCAAGUGCUUUACAGAUGCCCGGAAAGCUUAUUCUCAAGGAAUUAAAAAUAGUUUUCCCAUCUCAUCUUUCUUGAAUUGCCAACAGCUGUAUGCCUUCCCAAUUUCUCACAGAAUUGCAUGGGUCUUGAAAGUUUUAUUGUAAACUUGCUGGGGCUAAUUGUGUGUGAGCUCACAUCUGGCUGUAAGCAAAACCUUUCCUGAGUUUGAAUUGUCCCCUCGUUUUUGGGUUGUAGGUUUUCCUGAGGUUUAAAUUUAAAAAUCAAGCACUAGGCUUAGAGUUAAUGCGUAUUUAGGAACAGCUGAUGAAUCUGAAUUCCUUUAGGUGGGGUUAAUCAAACUGAAAACAUUCCGUCCUUAUGAAGUGCUGGACAGAGUACUUGCGUAUCUGUUUUAUUUUGUGAUGGUACUUAAAGGUCACAUCACAGUUGAGUUUUGUUAUGCUGGUUGCUGUAAUACAUGUGGUUCUUCACCCUUAAAACCCAAACAUUUUAAGCCUGAAGACCAUCCUUCUCAAAUAAAUAGAUAAAUUCCCAAACUGGUUGUGGAGUUUUUUUUGGCUCUCUCUUGGCUCCUCUGCUGCUUAAAGGUGGGACAGAGAUGAAGGAGAAGGAAAAAAGAAAACAACAAACUAAAUCUGUUACUUUCAAUACUUUUUUUCCCCCAUGGUGCCUGAAAUAUCAAUAGUCCCACUUCUAGCUGUAACCAGGUGUUACUGCUUUUUUGCUGGUGUGUAUUUAUCACCCCUCUCAUUCUCAUGCAUUGCAACUUGCAUGCCUAAUUGCGUCUAAUUACAUGUCAUAGCUGGAAAGAACCCUUAAAGAUCAUCUAAUCCAACUCCCCUGCGAUGAACGGGGACACCACAGCUGGACCAGGUUGUCUAGGGCCUGGUCCAGCAUGGCCUUGGAAGUCUCCAGGGAUGGAAGCAUCAGCCACAUCUCUGGGCAGCCUGUUCUAGUGCCUCAGUACCCUCGCUCUAAAAGAAUUUUUCCUUAUAUCUAACCUAAGUUAGAUCCUCUUUAAGUCUUGAAACCAUCCCCCCCUUCUCUUAUAACAAUAGACCCUGCUAAAGAGUCUGUCCCCUUCUUUCUUACAGCCCCCCUUCAUAUACUGAAAGGCUGCUCUCAGGUCACCCCAGAGCCUUCAGCCUCCAGGCUGAGCAGCCCCAACUCUUUCAGCCCGUCCUCAUAGGGAGCUGUUCCAUCCAUUGGAUCAUUUUUGUGGCCCUCAUCUGGAUGCACUCCAACAGCUCUAUGUCUCUGCUGUACUGAGGACUCCACAUCUGGAUGCAGUACUCCAGGUGAGGCCUCACCAGAGCAGAGCAGAGGGGUAGGAGCAGUCCCUCACCCUGCUGACCAUGCUGCUUUGGAUGCAGCCCAGGAUAUGGUUGGUUUUCUGGCUGAGAGUGAACAUUGCUGCUUAUGUCCAGCUUCCCAUCCACCAGUUCCCCCAGAUCCUUUUUGGCAGGGCUUUGCUCUGUUUUUCCAUCCUGUAGCUUGUACUGAUAGCAGGGUUUGCCACAACCCAGGUGCAAGACCUUGCACUUGGCUUUGUUGAACCUCAUGAGGUUCACCUGGGCCCACUGCUCAGCCUGUCUAGGUCUCUCUGGAUGGCAUCCUGUCCCUUGAGUGUGUUGAUCCAUCCCCACAGCUUGGUGUCAUCCACAAACUUGCUGCGGGUGCACCCAAUCCCACUGUCAGUAUCACUGAUGAAGAUAUUAAAGAGUAUCGGUCCCAGCACUGAUUCCUGGGGAGCACCUCUCAUCACCGAUCUCCAUCCAGGCACUGAGCCAUUCACCACCACUCUCAACUUGAUCCUCUUCCUUUUAAAUCUUUCAACUUUUCUUUACACUUGAAAAUUAGUGGUGAUACGUUCCAAAGCUUUGAUAAUGUUCAGUAACUGGUCUAUGUAAAGCAUAAUUUCUACCUUUGCUGUUAGAGCAGGAGGAGGUGGCUAUAAUUUUCCUUUUCAGUCUGACAGUGCUUCUUCCUGUUAGCAAAAAUAGUAUUAACCAAACUGCUGAUUUUCAUAUCACCCAUGGUGUGCUGAUAGGGAAGUUCUUGAGGUGUGCUGAUGUCGUGUCAUCUUUAUACUGACGUUGUCCUCUGUGUAAAAUAUGGCAUAACCAACUUUCAAAUCUAUUGUUUCGUUCUCUAGUCAAACUUGUCAAGAAAGUGGUUUUGCACUUCAGCCAAAACUCAGAAGCAACCAUUUCCUAUUGUGCUUUGUAUGUGACAGCAGCAUCUAACAACGUUUGCACAGAUGGGUCUUCAUGUGAUAUCACAAAAGCAUCCCCUCAUUUGUUCCUUCUCUUCUCAAGGUGCCAGGACAGUUGGUGGUAUUCAGGCCAUGAGCUUCCCAUUUAGUAAUGCACAGGAUUACCACCAACGUGCAAAUGCAGUUGUUUUUGUUGGAACAGGUAUUCUCAAGUGAAUUUUUACUUUCUCAAAUAGAAGAGCAGUAUAAUUUGGCAUUAAAAGGGAACUUCUAAUAUUUAGUAGAAUCAAUUGUUCAUUUUCAUUAAUCAGAAAAAAAAAUCAAAUCUUUUUGACAGAAAUGUGAAAUGAAGAUAUCCAAGGUAGGAAUUUUGCUGUUGAAGAUAUUCUCUCACUUUGUGGAUGUGUCCUAUCUCUCGUUUUCAGCUUUAGCUUGCUUGAUGCCUGUCUCUUGCUGUUCAGUGACUGGGCCCCUCAUGUGUGCAGUCAGUGCUGGAGCUUCUUUCCUGCAUCAGAACUCCCAGGCCAGGUCAGUGCUCAGUCUGAUUUGUGUUCUGCUGCACGAAGGUUGCCAGAUUUUACUUGAUGCUACAGGUGCUUUAAAGUUUUGCAGUAACUUCCUACCUGCAUUUUUUUCAAGCAACUGGUUAAUGCAGUGGUAUGCUGGCAGGAAAGUUCUAUGGCAAGGUGUGAAUUUAACUUUUUUUUGCAGGUAAAACUAGGAAAACUAGGUUUCUUGGAGUACCUUCUACUGUAAGAAUUAGUAGAUCAGGUCAGAUGGUUGCAGCAUUACGUGCAGCAGUGGUUAUGUUAUUAACAACUGAUUUGGGAAGGCAUAUGAGUAAUGCCUUGACAAGUUUAAGUUCCAUUUCAGAACAAUUUAUAAGGUCAUCAGUGUAUUUCUUAAAACACUGAUGUUCAAAAAUGCCUUUCAAUUAGGCACAAGAAUAAGGUUAUCAAAGCUGCUACAGUCUGCAGCCAGUCUUUCUCUUUUGUGCAUCCCGCUGCUCUUUUUCUUGUGGUUGUUAGCAUUUAAAGAGCAUGUUUAUGGUUUUUGGUAGCAUCUGCAAUCAACAGAAAUUACCCUGAAAUCCUAAUAAAUGAACCAAAGAAAGAUCUUCAGUUCUCUUUCCAUUAUAUAAACUUAAUUUUAAUUAUGUUGUAUUAAUAUCUGAAAUUAUUUAUUUCCUGCUAAUAUAAAUACUUAAAAUCUUAAAAUAUGAGGUUUUUUUCCUGUUUAAUUAGCUUGGCAGAGUUCGUGCAUCACUGUGCAGUGUAAAUAAACUGUUACUGUAUUUCAUGUUUCAGAGCAGAGGGGCAUUACUGAAUUAAUAUACAUUUCUUUUGUAAUUGUGUUGUUGGGUAAUUGUGCUUUAUAAAACUAUUUAACUUUUUACAUUUAAAUUGUCUCUGUGUUGUUUGUUUCAUUUUUGUUCUUUUUUUUUUAACUAGCACUGCUAUGCCAUAUUAAAUCACAUCUUCUUGCAUGAAAAAGGAUGUAAAAUGGAAUACAAAUCCAAAAUGGAGAUUCUUAUCAGAGUAAAAAGAGAGGAACAAAAUAAAACCACAGUACUAAAGCAGAGAUUCCCAAACUUAUUGUACUGGAGUUUCGUCACUGGUACGGAUGGGGAGGGACUGUUGGUGCCAGUGGUGUUAAUUUUUCUAUCUUAUCUUCCUCAACCUGUGACACAUUCCUGAGGGCAGAACUCAGCUCUGUCCUUUCUGCCUCACUUAAUAGUUUAUCAGCCCUACUUCAUUCCAUCCUGUUCUUGUAGACCACCAUCUGCUUGUGUAUGGCAAGCCCAGUUCCAAAAUUGCUCUCAAAGCAGUAUCUGCUUACAAAAUGUUUAUUGUUAAGUGUGAUGGUGUUCACAGGCCUGGCUGGGAGGUAUUGCAAUACACUGCAGUUAGAAACAAAGUGUGGCAAAUAGCUGGUCUUACAAAUCCUUAUCCAGAUAAGUCAUGCAUUCAGCGGCCUUUGAGGGCAUUUCAUUAAGGAUUACAUGUGAUUAGUGGUCUGUAAGGUCAAGAGUACGACCUGUCAUUAAUGAGUAUUCAUAUAUUAAUGCUGCUUUGAGUAGGAAGUUCAACUAGAUUGCCUCUGAGGUCAGUUGCAAUGAGAAUGUUAUGAUUAUCACACUUGUAUUGUGCAAAUAGAUAUUUAAUUUAUAAAAUGACAUAUUAAAUAAGCUAAGCCCUAUGCAGAUGUUGCAAUUAGUUUUACUUAUUCUGUUAUAUUGUAGCAUGGAGAUACAAAUUUGACCCAAGUUUUAAGAUUUAAAACAGUUUAAAAAAAAAAAAAAAGGCUUUGUGUACGUUUCAUUGAAUUCCUUGUACAUAGUUUUAUAUUCUUAGCCUACAACUGAUUUGGUUGUGGUUCUGGUACUAGUCAAUAGUGCCAGCAAAUGCAGUGCUUUUAUUUGCAGCUGAACUGUGUCAAUGGGCUCAAGUUGACUCUGACUAUUUCAGGUACUGUUGGCACUGAGGCUGUUGUACAAAGCCAUUGGUGCAGGUCAGCAGUCUGAGAAAGAAAGGUUUGAGGCCGCCAAAACUUCCAAAGCAAAGAGUCUGCAUGUGAGAAGGAAUUCUUAUAUUCAAAAACUAUGAAACAAACAAUGCUCCGUGAGAUUAUACUGUGUACAUUCUGAAUAUACAUAGAUGUUGCCACAGCUGGUUGAGUUGAAUAAACAAUAUGUGCUGAAUGAGUUUCAAGGGGAAUGCUUUUUCAUUAUUUAAGAAAUUGUGUUUUGACGGACAGUAGUGUGAUCCUUCUCAUUAAGGUGUGUGGGGAACUCAUACAGAUUUCCUUCCUGUGUUUGGAUAAAAUGUAUACCUACUGAUACUUCUUUCACCGUUACCAUUUAGUAUUGUAAAUUAAUUAUUUUAGUCAUAGAAUCAAGGUUGGAAAAGAUCACUAAGGUCAUCCAGUCCAACUGCUGACCCAUCACUGACCAUGCCCACCAAACCAUGUCCCUCAGUGCCACAUCUACAUCUAAAAAGUUGGUGGUAAGUGAGGAAGUCUCAAAGUGCCUCACUGCAAAAAGCCAAAUCACUUUCUCAUGGAUGUGACUGGAAAUAUUUUUGGACAACAUUUGACCCUUCCAAAAUAUAUUAAAUAUCCACAUGUGAUUGUUGUCCUGUCUCACUGCAGUGUGUUUCAGGGAAGUAUUUGGUUGCUUGCAUGUUUUUAUUAAAAAAGAAAAGGGUCUAAGGUGUCAGCUGAUGUAAGUAGUGUAUUAAGGACUAGGCAGACCUCCUGGACUAUAGCAACUAUAGAAAGCAAUUAAAUGGAAUAAAAGGUGCUAUGAAGGAGCUGAGUGAAUUCUUUACGUCACUCUUUGCCACAGAGAAUGUUAUGAACAUUCCGUUGUUUUCAGACAAUGGAGAUGCAACGUUAUCUGAUUAUUGAAUUAGAGAAUCAAAAGAUUGAAUGCUCAAAUGCUGAAGGGCCCCUCAGUCACAAGGACUACAUGCAGUUCCUCCCGUGAUUCUAGAGAAUGAAGUGGCUGAGCUGCUAAGAAUGCCUCUGCUUAGGAAGUGAUGCUGUGCCAGAAGACUGGGAGUUGUCAGUUGGUGUAUGUGCUGCUCUUCUAAACUGAGACGAUGUGGAAUUUGCAGACCAAGGAUUCAUAUUUAAAUGCCAAGCUAACUGAUGUAAAUACUGAAGUACUUGAAUAUAGUCAAGCAGUUCUGUGAGCACAUGGUCUAAUAGAACCUAUUUUCCUACAUAACUCUAUACCUUAGAGGUACCAGCUGCUGCUGGGAUGUUUGUAAGCUGUUUCUAUUAUGUCUAUAUUGGUGUUUCAAUAACGUGGGUACAUGCUGCAGCCUUUAGUCAGUUUGGGCAUUUUGUGGCUGUCUUUAUUCACCUGCCCAGCACUUGGAAUUCUGACAUCUCUGAACACAUUCAAUACUGUAAAUGCUUUUUGCUUGCUCUUUCACAAAACUGAAAUCAGGUAGUGGACGUAUGAAGGGUCAGGCAGAACCUAGGUAGGCACAAUAAACAUUUGUCUCAUCUUUCUUUACCUGUCUGAACAGAUAAGCAGCAGGAAGGUCAUCUGUUUGGCACUUCUAACCAAAAUAGGGGUUCGUCAUGUUAUGCCUCAAGAGUCUACAGUAGAAGUGAUUAAUUUUGUCUUUGGAUGCUUAUUUAAAGUAAAAUUCUAUAUACAUUUGGUAAAACUAGAUAAAGUUGUGAGGAACUUGAGGACGGUCUUCUAAAGAAAGCUGUAUUAGCAUAAUAAUGGUAGAUGUCAUUCAGUAUUUGCAGUUACAAAAUAACUCUCAGUGGAAGGAACAACUGAACUACUUAAAGAGAUUUCUAAAUUACAAGUAAAUGUUGCAAAGAUACAUUUAAGCUCCCAGGUGAAAAUAUCUUUAGAAGUACCCACUAUGAAAGAAGCAGCUUAAAAAUUUAUUCUAAUGAUGCUCCUUAGUAGCUUUAAAUGAAAGUUCCUUACUUAGUCAUCUCAGCUGAAAUGAACUGUCCAUCUGGUUUCAUUGCCAAAGCCAUUGAUGCUUACUUUACCGAUCAGUGUGUUUACGUACCCUCUGGGUGUUGUUAAAUGCUGUUGAUAACUAACAAGUUCUUGACAAAUAGGUAAAGUCUUGACAACUUACAUAAUUAAAAUAAUAGUGCUGUAUUUCUUGCUUUCGGUUUAUUUUCUUCGGGUUAUCUCUAAAUGCUCAAUAAUGGCAAUACAUUCAUUCUGCCAUUUGGAGGAGCCUGUGCCACAGAAUAAUGAUCCGAAGAGAGCUCAUGUAUUUGCAAGGAAGAGUCCUCAUUUGUGCAAUAGUGUUGAUGCAGCUAAGAGGUGCUUUGCCAAGUUCAGGUAAGUGUUUUCUCUUUGCUAUUUUAAAAUGUAGGUCUGCUGGCAUUUCAUUUAAAUUAGCAUGCGUGCAUUGCCGUGUCAGAGCCUGUCAGCCUUCGUGUUGGUCAUUUGGCACAUGAGGUAUCCUGAAAUGAAAAGGCGUGUGCUGUAGCAUGCAUGCCUACAAGAUGUGCAGAGGGAAGUUUUUGUCUUGAAAAUUAUUUGGGGAUAAUUCCUGGUCUCCGGAGUAGUUUGUGAGGAUGGAGGCUGUGGUGAUCAUAAUGACACAGGUCCCUUUUGCUACGAGUUCUUUUUCAGAGUUGGGCUUCUUUAUUUUCAGGAUUAAUUAUUUUGCAGAGCCACGGACGGUUGUGGUUGUGGAUGUAAGUGUUAGUAAUUAGUUAAAAUGGAUCCUUAAAUUUUGGCGUGGUAACAUUGGCUCAGGAUUUAAUUUUAUAUUGUGGGUGUUUUCUGUUUGUUUGUUUUUUCUAGACGUCCAAUUAUUUUAAUAACAUAAUAACGACAUCACAGCAGAAGCUGCUUUACAGCCGUACUCUGUAUGGGAAAUGUUGGCAGUGUAGCUCCAGUAAAAAGUGCUAGCAGUAGAAUAAUAAAAUAAUCAUAAAUAAAUAUUUAAGUGCAUACUUGAAUUUAUUUUCUUGGUCUUACUGCAAGCUGCAGAGGUUUAGCUGGCUAUAGGCUUGGUCUUCCAACCAUUAGUCAAAUGAGAGAAUUUGCAAAGAAGACCAAACCAUGCUUAUCAGUAAGGCAUAGUACAGUUUGUCAGGCUUCUCGGUGGUGCAUGCAGAUCCACACCAUUUUCAUGACACUUGUCUGCUUUGAUGCUGAUCCCUCGCAUAGAUAAAAAUGUUUCAUAUAUAUAUAUAUAUAUAUAUGGGUAUUUGGAUAUAUAUAUAUAUGGGUAUACAUAUAUGGAUAUAUAUGGUAUAUAUAUGGAUAUUUUGGGUUGAGAAACAGAGGCUUCUGUUCUGCAUGUUUUUAUGUACAUAUUUAACUGUACUUAUCAGUGUCAUCCUGGGACGGUGCUUCUUCCUCAGAACUUCAGUGACAUAAAAAAAGGGCAGUGCUUUUAAUGUAAGCCUUUGCUUUAUUCUCCCCAAACUUACAGUGCGAAGAUACUGCUUUAAAUAAACGGAAUGGAUAAUUAAACACCAGAAUCUAGUUAAGAAAAGCAUUUGAACUCUUUGUAAGGUACUCCAGAUAUGGUCAGCACCAGUGAAAAUUAGAUUGUUUCAGUAACGUUCUACAAAGUUGAAAUGCAUUUCAAUGGAAUCAUCACAAGAAAAAAAACCAACUCAUUUUGGAGACUAUUCAUAAAGUUUAUGAUUUUGCUCUGUAAUAUGAAUGAAAUGAGCUAUGCAUCAUUUUCAAAAUACUUUUUUAUAAUGCCACAGAAUUAUAAAAACUGGGGAAAUUAUUCAUCUGUCUUUUGGUUUUUAUAUAUGCAAAGAACAAUACCCUUAAGCUUAUUAGGUUUUCGUAUAGGUGGGAAUAGAUGCUGGCUGUGCAUCAAGCUAAACUGCUAUUGAACGCAGUAUUGCAGAAAACAAGGUGGGACAAAAGUAAAGCCUAAACCAAGUUCAGGGUUAUUCUGUAAUAAUGCUUAUGAUGUCUAAAAUACAGAUAUUGAGAGAAACAAGGAUAUUUUUCCCAUGAAUCGUUGAACAGGACUAUUAUUCUCAGCACAGCCUCCCAUACUAGGACGGAACUGCUUUUUCUUCGAAGAAUAAACAGAAUGCUGCAUCUGAAGAGUAAGGAGGUAAGGCACUUGAGAUUGUUCUUUCAGGAAGCAGUUAAAAGUAAUUUCAAUGACUUGUAAUGAAUGCAAAUAUACAAAAAUACUUGAUUUAUUAUGCAUCGUGAAGUCUUAAAUGGUUUAUAUCAGUUCCCGCUUGUUGGUUUUUUUUUCCUUUUUAUUACAUGGGUGGAAUUUCUGAUAGUAUUCAGCUCUGCUUUCUAAAUGUGUUUUCACUGAAAUCAGUGAGCUGACCUGAGUGGGAAUAAAGGGUGGUUUAUCUUUAGUGAGACAAAGUUAAGUCAUCACUAAGUAAUUUUGAAAUCCCAUCCUUGAAAUACUGGGGCUUUGACAUUCAGUGGGAUGAGAAUCUCAGAACAGACUGACUACUGUGGACUCCCAGGCUACGGCUCAGGCAAAUAACUUCUUUGGAGGAGGAUCUGAAAGGUUUCUUCUUUUCUAAAUUAUGAUCAUUAAGAAGCAAAGGAUGCAACUUAAACUGUGAAGAUUUUCCUCUUACAUUUAAAAUAGAUUUGCCUGUACCUGUGAGAGGUCUAUUAGUUCUAGUUGGAGCAUUAUACAAUUAUCUAAUGAUUCAGAGGUACUGUUUCUAAAGAGAUCUUCUUUACCACCAUAGAACAUGAAUCUCUAGUUCCACUCACAGUGAUUUUAUCUUGUUUUCCAACACGUAGCCAGAAGUAAGAUUCUAGUUCUGCUACUGCAAUUUCCAUUUUGCAAAGACAGAGAUGUCUUGGUAAUGCAUGCAUAAUUUAGAUAUAAUAGCUUCUCUAUUGGAAUAAGUGUUAGGGGCUCUGUUCAGAUGAUGGAAUUAACUUGAUUUGUUUCGUGUUCCUGCUGGUCUCUACUUUCUCCAGGUAGCUCAGCUGUUUGAGUGCCAACAGCCCAAUGUAGUUUGUAACCAGAGCUGUAAAGUCACCUGGAAUUGGUGCUACUUUACUUUUAUUUCCACUCUUGUAAAGUAGUGAAGCAGGUGCUGCUACUGCAUUAGUGGAGGCGGGGAACUUGGAGAAGAACUGAGUGUGCCAUGGGAAUGUGAACUGUUACAGUCAUCUCCUGUAAUCAGUCCUACCUUAUCAUCUGGGGUCUUCUGUCACUCUGUUUUGGUGUGAGAUGGGGAGGGGCUGGGCAGAGGAGAAAUUGAAAAUGAUUCUGUAAUUGGUAGGGAAAAAAAAAGCUAGAAAUGUUCUUUCUGGAAAAAACUUUUUUUUUUUUUAAACAUGAUGUGCUUUUUUUUUUUUAAGUCAUUAAAUCAUUAAUGCUUGGGGAUUUGUUUAUUCAGGAUUUACUCAGUGUCAGUUACGGACUUACUUCCUUGCUUUCUUCAAAAACAGAAAGAUGCUUUAAAGGAUAAGGACUUUGAAAUGAAGAAUAAAAAAGGAGAAUGUUUUAAGAAAAAGGUGUUUAUAAUGGACCAAAGAAAUACAUAUGUUAUCUUUUAAAAAAUAUUUAACUCGAGUGAAGCUCCUGUAUUGCAAGCCUCAAGACCCAGGUAAGAGAAGUUUCUCUGAGAAAGGGGAGAGGAAGCUAAUUGUUUUCCAAAGAGAAAUGGGACUAAGAUAUUCUGUAGUACUUAUACAUCAGCGUGUUGGGCACAGAAAUUGCUAUGCACACAAGUCAUAGAUAUAGCGCUGAUACUAUGCUUCUAACUUAGUGUGCUAAUGAUAGAGAAGUCGCCGGCUGUGAGAUCUGAUGUUAAGCCCUGAGGUGAGUUACCCAGUGACAACAGUACUGGAUGCCACACAACACUCUCUGAAGGUUUCUGUUCCUAGCAUUAUGACAUUGUUUUAAGAACAAAAAGGUGUCCUGAUCAUCAGCAUCCGGCUUAAAUACUGCCCUCUUGGAUCUCACUGUGUUAAUGUUAUCAUAUUGAACUGGAUGGUUAAGUUUUCAGAGAAGAAGACUGUUUUUCCUUAUCUGAAGUCUGACUAUGGGAGUUUCAGGGUCUUCAAAAGAGGACAUCUCAUUCCUGGUGUGCUUGCCAAGAAGAGGUUAUGAAGACUGCAUAGUGUCUUGAAAAAUGAACUUUGUUAUCCUGCUACAGAAUGGGUAAUUGUAUGUGUUAGGCAGUACAGGUUCCUGAUUGCUUGGUUUAACUCUAUGGAGUUAGUCUAAAGUACCAUGCUUCUUGCAAAAAUAGUAGAGGUUGAAGCACAGCAGAGGGAAAGAACUAGUGAGUAUACUGUAGGUCUUUUUCUUGGGUUACAGACCAAGUUAUGGAAUGCCAUCUUCCAAGAUAGAAACACUACUUGGCAUCAGAUGAGGACUUUGAUCAGCACUCCAAGGAGGGAUAGUCAGCAGUAUGAAUUUUAUUCUGUGCAGCACUUUAAGUACAGCAGAGACCUGGCACUGAGACUCCAGAUGCCUUGAAAGACCUUGUGCUUCACAUGAAGACAGUCUUAAAUUCAUGGACAAUGUAUUUCAGUUUGUAGAUGGAUGAAGUGCCCCAUGCUUUGGUUUGUUAAUGGCCAUGGUUGGAAACAUCUUUUUGCUAAAUUCUACAAGUUAUUUUCAUGACUGUUGCUGGAAUUUAUUUACUCUGUAGUUUGUUCGUGAAGAUAUUCACAGUUCUUUAAGCCCUGUCUGUCUUGACACGUACCUGUUUGUUCCUAAACAUCAAAUGAGGUUGUUCACUCCUGAAUCUGAUCUGUUUCUGCUACUGCUUUCUCUUUCAUCCUGGUUUUAGAGAAACUGUCUUUCAUGGCAAUUUGCUGUGGACUAACUUCUUUAUUAGGCCAUUUAAUUCUGGAGAUAUUGGUCAUAUAUAUUAUUACCUAACAAUCUCAUUUACCAACAAAGGCCAAUUAAUAGUAGUAUCUUAUAGCCACGGGGGCACAAUGUGGGGCCAGAAGCAAUGUGAACUGAAUUUCCUAGUCAUAUUUUAUUUAGCAGAAUAUCUAUAAUAUUAAAUAUAAUAUUAAAUAUAGUAUAUAUUGAAGAUUAAUUUCACCUAAAUAAUAAUGAAAAUGGAACUCUGACAAUUGGAAAGAGAAACUUGACUGAGGGAUUUUGGGGAAAAAAGCUUUGGCAUCUACAUGAAGAAAAUAUAUUCCUCAUUUUUUUCCAGAAGUUCACUGGAGAUUUUUACUCAUAGUUUAAAGAAAUGUUCAGAUGUCCAAAGGAGCAGUGCAGGUGACUUGAAAGCAAUAACUUAUGGUAUCACACUCUUCAAGAUGCUUUGUGUAAGUGAAUAUUUUAAUGCAGUUACUCUCUUCCAAAACUUCAUUGCAUUGGAAAAUUGCAGUCCCUAUGUACAGUGGACUACUGGUAGGUCUUUGAAGUGCUCUCUUAACUAUUGGAAUUGAGCUAAUUGUCUGUAUAGAAAAGUCUUGUUUGUUUAACAAGAUUUUCUGGAGGAGUAAUGCACUUCUGUUUAGGAUGGGUUACUACAAUUACAAGAAGUGUUUAAUUUUAUUUUCAACUUCUUUGCUCUUGCUGAGGUUGACCAACUUGCAAACAAGGUUUUAAGAACCUCCAUUUGCAGCAAUUUCAUGUCUAAGAUUAGAACAAGUUUACAUAAUUAAAAUUCAACAAUUGAUUAUUAUUUUUUUUUGUAUCUGAUAUACCUAUCAGCUACUUUCUGUGUGCUAGUUGGGAUAUGCUUAAUACAGUUCUCAUUCUGAACUAAGCACAUACAGCUCACCGUUGGUAAGCAGAGGUUAUACCAUAGGUAUUUCUCUUUAUCAAAAGAUUUCUGGGUGAUAGGAGGUUUCUCUUUAGGUAAGAGGAAGAUAGGGAGUCAAAAACAUGCCUCAGGUGAUUCUGAUCUCUUAACUCAGUCAGCUGGGAGAACCAAUCCUUAGAGACAUAAGUGUAACCUGCAUGUAAAAAUAAUAAAUAAGGAAGACCAUGCUGUUUGCUCCUUUUAAGGAAUACUUGUGGAAGGAACUAAACUUUGUUCCUUUAGAAGUAAAAGGGCUAUUUGUUUUUUUUUUUUUCCACAGCACAGCCUGAAUUUGCAGAUGUUUAAAACAACCAAAGAAAUUAAGAUAGUGAUGGAAAUAGUAUUGUGUGAUGGAACUAAAGGGAUUUUGUUGAACUGCUACUGCCUGUUGCUGUCAUUGACAGGCAGAGAUAACAGUGGUCAUUUCCAACGCUGUGGUCUGGCUGAGGAGGAGCGAUUGCUUUAUACGUCUUUUUCAAACCAGAGUGCAUGCUUAGCCAGGAUCCAGUGUUUAUCCCAAAAUUCAACAAUAGUGCAGCAUUUUUACUUAAAAAAAAAAAGUUAGUUAAACAUGGAAAAGUAUUAUGAAAAGAAUAGUGGCACCUUGGUGGCACACAGAACACUCUUGUCAACUGAAUUUGACAGAAUCUGGCAGAAAUUCAAAGUGUGGUUUGUCUCUAGUAAUUCCAUUAACAUUUCAAAGGUUGAUGAUGUUCUGGGAAUUACACAGCAGGGAUUAUUUUUUAUGUUAAGAAUUAGUACUCUAAAGCUUUGCCUGCACUGGGAAUAUUGUAGCUAUCUUGCAGUAGGCAAAUGUACUCUAUUCAAGACACUGAUAUUCUCUAUCAGAUAUUUUGCUACUUUAUCUAUAUUGGCAUAAUUAAAAUAGCAGUCUUCUCUCCGCCUGGUGUGAAUAGAGCUAUAUCAGUAUAAAACUAUAUAUUGGUUGCUUAUUUCCAAAUAGAAGGGAACAACCUAGGAGGGCUGGCCCAAUUCCAGGAAAUGUUUUUAAUUAUGUUGCAGUUGCUACGCCUCUAUGAACUACACGAGUGAGACCUUACACCAGAAGAAAAUGACUUCAUUCUUGUUCCUUUGCUCUUAUCCACGGAGCUCCAUAAAAGGCUGCAUCCUUUAGUUUCAGUAUGUUCAGUUUUAGUAUGUUCAGUUUGUCUUUGUGGCAAACUUGCCUGUUACGAAUGUAUGCUCAUUUUCUAGAAAGCAUAGAUGAUGAGUGGUUUGAGAAUAACAACGCGUCUUCAUCUCUGAAACAGCCCUACUAGUCUACUCAGUUUAUACUGGAACAAGUACAGUUUAAUGUGAAUGGUUAGGAUUUUCCAUCUGGCUGUGUGUACCAGAGCCUACAGAUCAUCUGCCCCUCUGAAUCCUAGCUUCACUCUGUUGUUUGGUAUGGAACAAAAUGUUUUAUGUAUCCUGACCAAACUUUCACUGCUGUUUUAUAGAUCAGUGUCUUGUCUCGCUUUCCUGAUGUGCAAAUGAAGCUUGUCCAAUAUGUGUUACCCCAGAAAGAAUUAAGAUAAUUGAAGUCAGAAUAUCUGAACUUGGAUCGCUUGCAAGUAAGGAUGAUCUGCAUGCACAUGUUCUGUAAAGAUAAUGGUGAACAGAUCCAGAUGAUUCCUGAUUUAAAGCUACAGAAGAGGGAGUAAUCCUGAUUCCUAUAUUAAAAGGAGGGGAAUUUCAUGAUGGGGAGAAGACUGAGAAUGUGUGUAACCUUUCUGCUCUGAGGCUGGAAGUACUGAAGAAUGGACAUGAGCCAGAGACACGAACAGGAAGAGCCAAAAGCCUGAGGGACCUUUGGCCAUUCAGAGAACAUUCACCAGCUUUAACUAGCUGUUCUCUGUCCUAUGCUUGUUGACUGUUCCACUCGCUUUCUGCCUCUUUACUUCUGCUUCAAUCCUGUUUGCACUGCAUGCUUUUUUUCCCCCAAUCUGCCCUUCUUCGUGCUUUUUAAAGUUUUUUGUUUGGCUGACUUUUUUUUUUUUUUGCUUUUUUUGUUUGUUUCAAUGGGUGGCUUUUAACUGCCCUAUGUUUGUGUGCUCUCUGACAAAACAGAACUUCCGUUUUCAUAAGUCUUCAAGUAUGAUUAAUGUUCCUUCGUCCUGCUUUUUGUAAGGAAUCACUUGAAGGCAAACGAGUACCCUUAAUGAGAUGAGAUGAUGUGUAUGAGGUUUAACGGGAUAAGGGAACCUUUGCUCCUGCAGAUUUUCUGUAGGUGAACUAGAGAUUUAGAAGAGCAGAUGUUGAAACAUCUAUACAUCCUUCUAUUCAGGAAAAAAGUCUAUAACUUUAUUACAGUCCAACAUGCUAUGUAUGAUGAACAUUUCAGAAUGGAUAUUACGUUGACUAUAUUUGCAUUGUACAUGCAGUUGUUGGCAAUUUUUUGGUUUGUUUUCCCCAUUUCACAGCUCUUAAAUUUGCUUUUAGAGACCGUUUUGGUAGGUGUAGGUUGCUUGUCUGAAAUCUGUUCUGAAGCUUCAGUGCAAAGCAAGCGCAGCACUGAUGAUGGAUGUGAAUGGACAUCUUAAGGAUAACUGGAUGUGGCAUCUUCAGAAACAGUGGCGUUUUGGUAAGAAUCUGCAUAUAAAUUAUGAAAUAAUACGUGAUGGUUUUCUGCCAGAUGUGUUUAUAUCUGUCUGAAAAAUUGUCCAAUCACUUAAUGGAAGUGUUUCUUCUACAGUGUGCUAAGUUGGAGGAUUACUCUAUAUUGUGCAGCACUUUAAAGACUGAAAAUGUACACAAUUUUACUAAGCAGUGACUUCUUGCAUGUGAAAACAGUAAGCUUUUAGAUGAACGAGGGUUUUUUAAAGUAUUAAUUAGUGGCUAUUUAUGGCUCUCUGCUUCUGAGCCUAUUUCUCUGAGUAUUUACAACUGGAUAUUUUUGAACUGUCAUUGAACAAACAACACAAAAACCUUUUAUUAUACAUAGACUAAAUGUUAUAAUUGCCCACCAGUAGCAUGUUUUACUUCUACGUGUGCAACUGUUCUAACAGGCAGUGUAAGAACAACCCAAUUUUGUGGAAGGUACACAACAUAUAUGAUUUUUUUUACACAUUAAUCAUAGCUGGAGGCUUUUAAUCCUUGUGUAGAUUAAAGAGAAGUAUAACAGUAGCAUGUUAAAUUACUGUUCUGGUACUACGUUGCUGGAAGCUUCGCACAACUUAAAUAAUGUACACAAUUAAAAAGCUUAAGUAGGAAAACACCAGUGGAAAUUUCACUGUAACCAGAGUCCAGUAUCAUAAAAGUGUUUCCUUUUACUUUAGUCCUUAAAAUAGCUCAGGCCAGCAAUUCCUCAAGCAAAAAUUGUUAUUUCCACUGAAAACAGUUACAGUCUUAGUUACACAUGUACUGAUCCUUGAAAUUUACAAAGAAUCUGUGCCUAUUUUUCUUCCUGCUCUUUGAGUCCCACUGGUGGUUGUUGCUGUAAUGGAACUAUUCUGAUAACAGCUAGCAGUUCUUAAGAUGGCUCUUAAAGACAUUUUGAGGUCUGGGGUAUGUAUACAUUGGGCUAAACAGGAACCAAGCUUAUUUUUAGAUAAAAUAGUUCCACAGCUGAGGUAACUUUUAGCACCGUGCUGCUUGUCAGUGUGAUUACAGUUUUAUGGACCUUAGGAACUCUUAAUUUUAACAUGGCAUUCUGAAAGCUACAAUGGCUCCUGAGCUGGUUCAUAAGAAGAUUAGCUAUUAAUUGAACGGACAGUGUUAGUGUCUGAGAGUGAUAAUAGCGUUUGGUCUGCUGUGUGCCUGUCAGGGCCAUUAGUCUCCAGCUCAAGUGCGUUGUACUAAUAAGGGUACCUCGUAUGGGCACCCGGGGAGAGGUGCAAAACUGCAGUUUGUAUUGGUAGGGUAGUAGCACCAGCUUGGCUGAUGGAAUCUAGUUGCACCGUGCUCAUUUACACUGCGUAACCUAAAAGAUACCAAGGGCAGCACUCAUUAAAACAGUAUAUUCACUUAGAUCUAGUGAGAGAAGAAGUAUGGAGAAUACCUGGUAGCUGGAUUCCUGAGAGGUGUGUGGACAGAGAGAUGAUUCUUCAGAAGUCUAACAGAAGGCCAUAUGUUAAAACCACUAUAAUCUCUCCAGAAGAUGUCUUAAUGUGAGCUAUAUUCUCAUUUGAAAUUAAUUUUGAAUAAGAGUGACUAACAGUAGUAUCUGUCUAUGUAAUAUCCCUUUCUACAGCACUCAGCUUCUCAUUUUUACUUUCUAGGUGGGCGGAAGAGAUAAUCCAGCCUGCCAAGUGCUAUGCACUCGUUCCAGUGCCAAAAUACAAAACACACCAGCAGCUUUAAUGUAAGGGGCAUGCUAGGUUCCUCCAGCUGUGCUGAACAAGUGUGUGUGUUAGGUGGAUGAAUAUAAGCUUAACUGUCUGCUUAUAUCUAUUUACAGGUAGUUUUUUAAACUGCUGUGCUUCAAUGGGCUGUUGCAGUAACUUGGGAUGAAGAAGUUAGGCUGCUCACCAGUUUGUUUUGCCAGGCUGAUCCUCCAUGGCAAGUGUUUGGUUAUUUAUUUGGGCUGUUUGUAUUAAAACCAGGUUCUAGAGGGGAAAGGAAAAAAAAAUGAGGGGUGCACCCUUCUCCAUUUUAAAACCCCUCAAAUUCUGAAGGAUGAAAUCAAUUAAGAAAAACCUCCUUUGCGGUUUCCACAUCAGAGGUAUCUUUUCUGUAGUUGCAGUAGUUGUAAAAAUGAAGGCUGGGACGUUACCUGUCUCUUUCUGCUGAUCUUUCCUAAGGUGACUGGUACUGAGUGGUAUUGCUUCAAAUCAGUUGCAAGUGACUGACUUGUAAAAGAGCUGGUUGGCAUCUAGUGCUUAAUUUUUCCAUUCCUAAACCAUUUUAGUGAUAAUAACUUCAUUUGUGACACUCCACUUCCACUAGUAGGUGGAAGCUCGAGGGGGAAAAUGUUAUAGUUCUUUCACAAUUCAUUAGUUUGUGGAUGUUUCUGUUAUGUUGUUUCCACACAGAGUGACUCAUAGCUAAAUGAACACAGCAGCCUAAAGGCGUGCCCUCACUGCUGCGGCCCACAGUGAAACUUGAUGCCAUUAUAUAUAUAAGGAGGAUGCUCAGACGUGUUUGAAUCCUUGAGAAAUUGCAUGCACAUUGGACAUGUGUACUAUCAAACACUUCCUCAGCGUAGUUUAUUUCAAGAAGUUGUGUUUUACCCUGAUUGCUCUUUUUUACACAAUUAAUUUAGCAAGUUGUUGGCAACAUCUUGGCAACAUCUGUCUUGUGAGUGUAAGUUAGAGCUGAGAAACUGUGUCUUUGUCUUGUAAAGCAGUACGGUUUCAGUGUAUUCACUUCUGAACUAUUUGAGAAGAGAUUAUGGAAGUACUUGCAUUGCCACAUUGUUUUUGUAAUGAUUUAGACAGAUUCAGAAGUGUUUCUGUCAAGUUGAUAGGAUGCAAACACGAAUUAUAGUGAACCAGUUGGCCUCUGGUUAUCCCAGCUCUCCUUGCACUGCAGAUUGCUUACCAAUUCUUUCCUUGUUUAACAAAAAUGUCAAAAAAAGAAGCAUCUUUACCUAUUGACAUGUCACGCAUCAUCAUUUGUGUUACAGAAGUUUUGUAUUGGAACUCUGCACAAAGCAGAUCUAAAACUGCUCUGGGGUUCCUGUCCUACAUUCCUUACACCUCUCUUACCCUGCAUUCUGGUACCUCAAUUGCAAAAUGCAAACAUUGAGAGUAUUAAAUAAAACGUGUACUUUUUUUGUUGUUGUUUUGAAUCUUUAGGUGCUGCCAGUGGUGAUGGUGUGCUGUUUUGUGUAUGUGUGCAUGUGUUGGUUGUUUGUUUCUCCAGGUGUUAAACAGCAGUGUUAACUAAAAGCUGCCAUUGUUUGUAUAUAGAAAAUACAUACAUAGCUCUGUGUUUGUUCUCUGGGUGGCAGAGCUAUGGAUUUGAUAAUACUGAGACAAAUUAUACAGUAAAUACACUGUGAGUGAGGUACCUUUAAUUUAUUGGUCCUAUUCAACUAGGCUUGCUAUGUGCCAAAGCAAACAAACAUGUUUAUAUUAAAGAGUUGUCUUGCCAUAAGAUUUUCACUUCAUGCUUCUCACAGCUGUACACCAUGUCAGCUUUUCUGUGGAUGUCCAUAUUUGUUGUCAGGAGGAGAUGUCUGUGCUUACCUAACUGUGAUUCUGCUGACACAGAUCUGAUCUCCAUCCCUCUUCUGGUUUGUAGAGGCUGUAAUGUGUUAAUGAGAACUACACGCAGUUACCAACAAAAGCUGCCACAACUUCCAUGGAAUACACUGGAAGACAAUAAGAGCAGCAAUGUCAAUCCUGUUUCAAAUUCCAGCACCCCAGGCCAAGUCAUCCUGGGUCACUUAAGGAUGUCUCACUAGGAGAGUAUAGGAGGAAUAAAGCUGUAACAGAAUGCUGCUGUUUGAUCUUCAAGUAGCAUUGAAGCAUAGGCAGGGGAGUGACUAUCAAAAUGAAAAUACAUCAGAAAUUGCCACUUGGGCAGUUCAGGAGAGGAGAGUGUUGCUGCCAACGAAUCAGGCCCCAUUCCCCUUUCAAUAAGCAUAAGUAGCAGCAGGAUGCCAGAAAUGGGCAUGCUGUUGUGUUCCAUCCACAUCUGUAAGCACGAACCCAGGCUGCUCUGCCUGUGGUGCUCUCAGUUUGUGGGUCUCUAGUUUGUUGAGAUCCCUCCUCCUUUGCCAGCAGGGGUCCUGGAGCCUUGCUGCAGCCUGGGCCCUUUUAGCCCAUUCCCUUUCCACCUGUUUCAGAGCUGCUUUUUUCUCCUGUACUGCGUGCUGAAGAUGCAGAGCUCUGUGGUUACGUUGAGGGGCUGUGAUGUGAGACUGUCUGUGUGGGCUGUGUAGAAGUGCAGACAGGCUCAUGUCAGGUGCUGAAUGUUCUGACCUUCUCCUUUCUGCGUGGAACCAUUAAGCCCUUUUGUCCCGGGCAGCACUUCCACCCAAGGCUGUACGCUGCGCUGCUAUUCACCCAGCAUACACAGGCGUGUUCAGGUCAGGUUCCUCUCACUUGCAUCAGUACCAGAGGCAAUGUUGAUUUGGGCCGGCCAGCAGUGCCAUCAGCAGAAUAGCACCGCAGUGCUGAGGGAUGGGGAAAGAGAGCAUGUAGCCUGUUCCAGCCAUCAACCUGUUGGACCAACAGCUGUCUGUAGGUUUGAGCUGUGUUUGUGUAUAGGAUGCCCUCGUGUUACUGCAGCGGGUUAGAUCUUCCCUUGAAGUGUACAGUGCCAGAUGUUCUUGUUUAAGAAUACACUUUGGCUGAUGGCAAAAUAACUCCUGCUUGAUGCCUCCGUGCUAUGUGCUCUGCAAGUUGGGUGCUCUGUGCUGAUGCUACUGCAGUGAAUCCUGAUGGAAUCCUCUUAGCUCAAUAUUGAAAACAAGAUGUUAAGAAUAAAAGAGUUCUGGUCAUUAAACUGGAAGUAAUGUGAAGCGGGAGCUGAUUGAUAACCUGACACUUGGCUUCUGUAGCACCUGCCUCAAAGUAAUGGCUCCUUACACUGUACAUUAAUCACGAAGAAGUUCAGAAAUGCCUCAUUCCAUCCAGAAACUUUUAUUAUGAAGUAAAUAGCUUUCAUAGUAUUGGAAUGAGCACAUAUAUGUCUUUAAUAAAAAUGUCUUCAUAUCCAAAUGAGGUUAGUUUACACCUCUUUUCCCAUGAGUUUGUUCUGUUGUAAUUGUCUUCCUUCCCUUUAAAAGGGAAAAUUGGCAUGGAACAGCUUUGCAGGUAAAUGUGGAGCAGCUUUGCAGGUAAAUGUGCAGUGGAGUAUAUUUUGAAAUAUUCAAUACAUAUUUUUAAGCUUCAUCUAGAAAAGCAAAAAAUGUCACUUUUAUUUUAGAAAGAGGCUGCAAAUUGCCAAUGAGGUGUAUCAUUGAAAUGAUCACAGGCAAAAGCUGUUAAUUUGGCAACCACUGGUUUGCAAAACAGAACAAAUUAAGGAGGUUAAGUGUUACGUUCCUAUUUCCUACUAUUGAAUAGUCUGCUUUGGGAACACAAAUGAAAGGUAUGUUGCCUUUUGGACUCACAAAUUGUAUACUGCUUUUCUGCAACCUGUUGCCUUUCUUUUAUGCCUGCCAGCUUUCCUGUCAAUGUGGACAGUAAGGUCAUCUCGAACCCACAGCUUCACUACACACAGUCUGUUUAACUGUUCACUGCGUACCAGCUUCAUUUUCUCGCCAAGAAAGAGUUCCCAGGCUAUCUUUCUAGUUCUCUUUUCUAUGUUAUUGUCUUCUUAAGUCUCCAUUUGUUCCCUUUAUUGCACCGUGGAUUGCUUCAGACAUUUAUUAUUGCCCUAUUUACCUGACCCAGCCACUUAUUAAACCGUGAAGUCUUAUCCCUGCUUUGGCAUUGCUGGAAGUCUCUUCUUAGUAUUCCCCUGCAUAUUCCACCCUUGGCCACUCUUCUAAUAUUCCUUCACUUCACGUUCCCAUACAGUGUGGAAGAAGUGUGACUAGUGAUAGGACUAGAGGGAAUGGCUUCAAGCUGUGCCAGGGAAGGUUCAGGCUGGACGUUAGGAAAUACUACUUCUCUGAAAGGGUGGUCAGGCACUGGAAUGGGCUGCCCAGAGAGGUGGUGGAGUCACCGAGCCUGGUGGUGUUCAAAGUG